AGAAGUGGAUUGGGAUUGUCUAAGAAGUGCAAACAGAAAACCCCUGGAAGCUAUUAAACCUCCAUGUUACACAUUUUAAUUUAAAGUGAUGAUGUUUAAUUUUAGCAAGUCUCUAUGAAACUUGAACUCUGGAGAUAAAAGACCCCGUUGAGCUAAAACAUGGAGAAAAUGUAUCACACUCCAGACCACAGAGGGAAACAGAAUUCUCAAAGUCACAGGGAAGAAUAGUUGAACAACACAUAACAGGAUAGGAAAGUUCAAAUCACAAAGGAAUGAAGGGAAAAUGAAAAUGCUUAUUUAAAAUCAAACACCCUAACCUGGGCUCUCAGUGACUCCCAAAUGUACCUCAUUCAGCUUUCAAUUAACAAAGGGGAAAGAGAUGGAACAAUUUACCUCUUGAAGUGCCAAUAACUUUUUAUGAAUUGUAUUUCUUCCAUUUAGGAUGGAAGUCUGAGAUAUUUCAUAUCCUUAAACAGAAUCUGUUCUAUGGAUAACUGUCAAAAUAUAACAUCAAUUAUAAUGCUGUUAUACUCACAGGUAUUAUUGGUGCUGCUUUUCUUUACAUAGAAUGGCUUUAGACCCAGUGAUUUUAAAGUUCUUGUUUCUGACUUAACAGCUCAUGCUCUCUACUACAUCGAAGAUGGAAGAGUUAUUCCUUGCAAUUCUUGAUGUGGCAGCCUCUAGUAGCUUGUCUCACCUUUCAUAUAUGAUAUGUUAAAUUAAGCUGAGAAACUAGACAACUGAAGUUCUAAUAAGUAUAUAAAAAAACAAAAGUAAGUAGUCUCAGAAUAAAAGCAAAAGAAGUCUUAUUUCAGUUUCCAGGGUUUGAAUUCUCAGCAUUUGGGUUGUUAGAUCAUUUUGGUUUCUGCUACAGUUUGUAUAAUUAAAGUUGACCAUGUAAGUAGCACAUGGAGGUAUAACUCUAUCAAGAUUUGGAGAAAGAACCAAAAAGGAAGGAGUUCUAUGCCUGGGAGAAAGAUACCUGGGCUGUAUAGAAUUUCUCAUGGUUGUGGGAAGUUGAACCCAUCCUUAUUAUCAAUUGACAUUAAAACCCUUUUGAUGAUCUUUUGUUACAUAUAAGACACAAAUCACAGGAGUAACUAGUGCCCUCAUACUUGAGUCAUUAGACCCAUCACUGGCCAGCUUACUCAGCAUCCAACCCAGAUGAAAAAAAGGCUUCUGUAUCAGGCUUGCCAUAGCACAGCUUGUCAUAUUAUUAUUUUGACUUAAAAAUUAAACAAUAACAAUGAAGAACAAAAGCCUUUUAGUGGUUGCUAUUUUCUUCAGAAUAAAAUCAAAUGUCUUAGUAUAGUAUUUAAAUACCUGGUGUCAUGGUUGGAUUCCAGUCUACCUUUGCAUGUACCCUCCAUGACUUCCUUUUCUGACAAAUAGCAAAACCCACCUAUACUCACAUCAGACUAAGCCAUGUCCUCCCAGGUACACAGCUUUUCCACCUCUGCUUCCCAGGCUUCCCUCCAAUUCUGCAGCUCCACAUCUCACAUAUUCCUCUGGGCUCAAGAAACUCCUCCCCCACCUGAAUGUCCAUGAUACAUGAUCUGUCCUUCUAAUAUAAAACAUAUCUCUCUUCACCUUAUAGUACUCAGGACUCCUCUGUCCUGUUAGAUUUUAGGCUCCCCAAGAGUGUGAUAUGAACUGGAUUUCUUUUGACAUCACGCACAGGUUCCUGACCCACAGCAGAGACUCAAUAAGUAUGUACUGAAAGAAUGAGUGAGGCAAGGAGAGGGUCUGAUAUGGCUUAUUUCCAUCUAGGAAGAACUGAAGAUACUAUUUUAAAAAUACUUUUAAAAGGGAAGGCAGGGAAAGUAUAAGGUGAGGCUGGGAUAUCUUCUUGUACUAGAAAACAAAGAAGCAUUCCUUGACUAAUAGGGAUCUGCCAAAAGGACACAAGUGUCAUCAUGAAGAGGCUCCCUUUCGGCAAAUGUGGGAAAUACAAGCACUAAAAAAGAAUUAUUGCAAUUGAUUGUUGUAUAUUAAAUAAAUAAAAAUCAAUUAGUCUAUAAUUAUACUCAAAAGAGAAAAAAAAAAAUGCCGCCAUUGAGGGUGACUAUUACACUAACUUCUUACCACCAAAAUUGGUAAAUAAUGAGAAAAGCAUUUCACUUGCUUUUUAAAAGAGGAACUAUAGUUCAUCUGAUGUUGAUAAGAGAAAGUCUAUAGGAAAAAAUGCCAAGUAAAAAUGUGGAAGAAAUAGUAGAAUUAGGAAAUCUUCAUUUUACAACCCCUAAAGAAAUAAUUGAUUCUAGCAAGAAUCAUCAAUGUAUUCUAAAACUCUUAAGCAAAUAUUUGAGGGAAAACUGGACAUUCACAGAAUGCCCAAGCACUAUCCUAUAGAUUAUCUGCUAAUUAUAAAGGAAAUCUUGUCUAUAGAAAGAGGUACUGUGUCUGGCCACCACCACAUUAGCAUCACGAACAGCUGAUAGCCUGGCAUGAUGGGAUGCCAUUUGAAGUACACAUGCCAAAAAUGUUUAAUCUGAAUCCAAACAAGACUCUGGACCAAAUUUCUAGUUUGUAGGGAAGAGUGAGUAGAGGAAAAAGUUAAGAGACACCACAAGGAAACAAUCAGACAAAUCUAGAACAUGAAACAUUCUGAUGAUUCAUCUGGCUUCUUCAGAUUGAUAUUUAACAACUGUUAGGACCUCAGUUUGAGUGAGGUUCUGAGAUAGAAAGAAAUGUGUCAGAAUAAAAGACAACAGUGAGAAAUGAAGUCGUAUUUUGUAUUGGCAAUCUGCUACUUCACAGCUUGAGAAUCAGUCCUAAGAGAGAACUAUAUUUUUUAAAAAUGACAAACAUUCUAUUAUUAGUCAGAAUCCCACACCCAAAAUGAACCUCUCUACCAUUUUACAAGACAUUUAAAGAGAACUAUAAAAUUUAAUAUUUUACAUAAUUAGAUAUUUAUAUUUUCGUUUCAUUCCAAAUAAUCUAUUAUACUAUGAAACAAGUAUUGAUUUUGUCCUCUUAUUUGCAACAGUAUGUAAAUUAACAGAUUCAUUGGAUGUGGUAAGCCCAGGUUCACCUACUUCAGUUCACUGUUCACUGGGUACCUAGAUAAAUGCUUAAAUCAUCAUUGAGAAUAAUAUUCUGCUUGAUCAGAAAUCACUUGGUAAUAUGAUAUUGAUACUUUGAUAAUAAAUUACAUUUAUACUUUUAUGGCGUGUGAUUUCAUAUAUAUUAUCUCAUUUGAUAAUCCUAACAACCUUGUGCUAUGUGCAGGUAGAUCAGGUGUCAUUAUCCCCACUUAGCAGAUGCAGAAGCCAGAGGUCAAAUAAAUUCGUUUGUCCAAAGUCACAUAGAUAAUGAGAAGAAGAACUGGGGGUUUCUGGCUCCAACUCCAGUGCUUUUCUACUAACCAUCCUAGGUAUUCUCUCUAACCAGUAGUCCUGAAACCGUGAUUUCCAGUCUCUAGCUAGUCCCUGACUGAGGCUGCCAGCACAGACAUAGACAACUAAAACAGCCCGGGUAUGACAUCAAGUCUACUGAGUAAGGUAUGCACUUUGGUCACUUUCUGCAAGGCCCAAUGUACUACUUGUCUUAUGAGUCUUGGAUUUAAUCAAAACUCUGUGCUCCCACUGCCUCCAGGAACGACACUGAUUGUGCACCUUUGGCGGUGUACACUACCAUUCGUUCCUUGUCUGCACACUCUGAUUAGCUUGCCCUGUUAUAGCUUACCAUUCAACUGCUUUGUCACUCCUUCCCUUUAAAUGUCCAGGGUGUGGUAAGCAAUGAAGCCUCAUUGUGAGAAUUUUUCCUUUCCGAUUCUGAUUGCUAGUUCCCUAUCAGUAGCAGGAUUUAUUAUUAUAUAAUUAUCAUGAUUUAUUGAUAUGUAGGGUUUAUAGGGGGUCCUGCAGUAAUUUAGAAAUUUAGGGCUGGAGUUGCAGCACAUGUUGAGCCCUUGGCUUCUCUGCAUUUUGACUUCCUAGUAUUCCUUUCUGGAGACACUAUACCUGUUCGCUCUGACCUCCUUUCUGCCCAUUUGCCAUUUCUACAUUUCCCAAAAUGACAUGUUACUCUCCCAGUGGUGAGUCUUGAAAGAUAGAGAGGUUAUGAAAAGUUAGGUGAUCCUUGUGAGAAAGCAGGAGAGUGAGCAAUGAGAUACAGACAGACAAGGACAAAUGGCUGGAAUUAGGGGGGAAAAAGAAAAAAUAUAGACCUAGAAAUAGCCAAAACGGUUUUUAAAUUUUAUCUAGGUCCCAGAAAAGUCAUAAGAUAGUAAAUUAAGAAACAGGAAUGGUGAAUUGAGUUGUUAAAUACUCUACUUCCCUCACCCCAGUUUAAUUUGCAUUUCCAUAUUCUCUAUGAACAUCUAACCUUUCCAUAUACUCUCAGAAUCUCACAUUUUAAAUAGUAUUCAUGAAUUAAAUAUCUUCCUAAAGUAGAUUCCAGGUCCAGAGAGGCCUCACGAACUCUUUUAAAAAGUUUGUUCUUAUUUAGAACUUGGGAGGAAACAAAUGAAUGCUCCGUAAUCUAUUUGGCCAGGCUCUAAAGUCACUUCUUUUCAGAAUUCCCUCAAAUUCCUGAACUAGAAUUUAUUGCUUUGACCAACUUCUUCCUCCCACCAACCAACACACUAAAGUUUCUUUCCAGGCUUUUUGAGUGAUUGCCCACAAUUAGGAACAACCCAGCAUACCCAUUACGUUGUCACUUCCUACCAGAUGUUUUCCAGCUGUUCUCAAUGUCUUUUUGCUAAUGCUCUGCCAUCUGCUACCUUAAUGGUGGCACAAUGGGGAAUGGCUGCUUUGGUGACUUUGCUCUACAAGUUAUAAAGACCUGGCCCACUGCCUCAUCCUGGAAAGUCUGAUAUGCACAUUUGUCACAUUUCUCCAACUAGUUGUUGCAUUUAUUCCAUCUACUAACUAGCCAAUAUUAAACCGGUGUGACAUGAAAUACGUGAGCUCUCACUAUCAAAUCUAAACCUGGAUCAGUCUUCAUUAAUGGACACAUUCACAUCUUAUUUCCAGCUAUCACAGGUCCUGCCAUUAAGACAACAGCUAACAUCUUAUUGCCCAAUCAAUACGAUUCCCUUUCACCUUUCUUUGUAUUUUUUUUUUAACCAGCAUGCCAAUAGCACAUCAGUACAGUAAGCAGUUAUGCUUCCUUUGUGUCACCUUGUCGGUUACACCUUAUACAUGGAAAUCUUAUGUUUGUUUGAUAUUCUCUACAGCUGAAUGAAGACAAAUCUUAGCCCUCUGAGACUGAUGGUAACUUAUCAGAGUCAAAUUCUGCCAAGGCAUAGCAGUUAUCAAUGUAGAUUUCCAGGGACUGUAAAUCAGUGUGUAAUCUAUUUGUAUAUACUUAUUGAGGAGAUUAUUGCUCCCUUCAAUUAUGGAAACUAUUUUUCUGAAACCAUCAUUAUACUAGAUGUGAAAAAGGUUAGUACCAUUAGCCCAUAAUCCCUUCCGAAGGCCCGGUGGGAAUGGUUGUUUUUGGGACUUUGGCAAACAUAACAGUAAGUUCAGGAAAACUGAUAUCCAUACUAAUUACAAUGUACUUGUCUCCAGUAAUCUAUAUUUUUAAUUAAUUAUUUUAAGAUUUGAGCUGUCACCACAUGAUAACUCCAUGUCUUAUCUUCCAAAAUGACACCAACCCUCGAUGGCUGUCUUAAAUAGACAGCUUGUUUAAAGUAUUUGCGCUUAUGGUCACAAGCCAGAUCUACUUGCAGUACAGUCAAAAUACAAAUCUAGGACCAAAAGAGGAUGUUAAUAUCAUCCCUGACAGCACAAACACAUGUUCUUUGGUUUCAUAACACUAUUUUUACUUGAACAGGUACCUUCUUCCCCAUUCCAGCUUAUAUUUAUCAGAAAUUAAUGAAAAUGUCAAUCUUUUAUUUGAUAAAGCAAUAAGAUCUCAAACAGCAACUUCAUGUUUUACUUGGAGCAGCCAUGAAUGUAGCAACAGUGGAAUCACCAUGUGCUAAAAGUUCACUCAUAUCCACUGUAGUCAAUAAACGUACUUACUGGUUUUACACAUACUUAAAGAGUGUCUUCAACUUACAAAACAUGCUAGUGUCUUGUCAAAUGUGCUUAUCUUUGUAAGGAAUAAAGACAAGGUGCUUCUAGUUAGCGAAGGACACAGAUUCUAACAACUAACUAUAAUACAAAACAGAAUAAUAUAAAAUAAAUAAGAACAACAAACUGAAACUCUGGUAGUUGGUUGAGAAUUGGAAAAUACUUAAUGGAAGAGGUGGUGUUUUCACUGCAUCUUGGUGAGUAAAUAGAAUUUUGGUCAGUAAACAGGAAAGAAAUAUAGUUAGGCUUUUUUUUUUUUUUUAAAGAAGACUAUAAAUGAACCUACCAAACUCCACUGUGCUUCAUAUAAUCACUGAUAUUUUGCACCCCUAAGAGUGUUAUUUAAGUUUUCAAUGCAGUUAAUUGAAACCCUACUAGAUGCAAAUCAAAAGUUUCAGCCUUAAUUGAGAUAUUUUGAAAAUUGAACCCAUUGCUUCAGGCAGGUGCUACAUGAGAUUCCAUUAAUAUAGGUAAUUAACAUUAGCCUCUGCUUUAAUUAACAUGCAUACUUUAAUUAGCAAAGCAUUAACCAACAUUAAAAAAUCUGAUCUUCAUGCAUCACAAAAAACUGCAAAGUUAUGACUACUAUGUUAUUUUUCUCCAAGGUUGUAAAUCACAAAACAGUGAUCACUUCUGAAGUACACGUCAAAUUUAAAAUAUUAAACAGGGAGAUAUGUACAAUAUGAGUGAAAACAUAAUCAAAAUAAAAAAGGAUGCUAUUUAGAAAUUAUAGAGCCAACAGCUUUCACAUUUUAAACAGGAGUUACAUUGUAAUCUCUCAAUGAUCAUUUGCAAGGCAGGAGACUUUUGGCUUGAAAAAUCCCCAUAGACUGUCAUCUUCCUUAUAUGUAAUAAAUCAAGGACUAUAUUAGAGUACCAUUAUCUAUGUGACCAUCUACCUCCUAACCUCUUCUUAUCCUUCUCAGGGAUCAAAGAAAGCACCAGUUUCUGAAGACAUUUAAUACCUGAGGUCUCAGACUAGCACAAACUUCAUUUUUAAAACAAUCUAUGUUGCCUUGUUUUAUGUUUAAGACCAAAAUGUGUUACACUAGUUCUUUAUUGUCAAUCUACCAUGUGUGGGACCACCAACAAUUAAGGAUGCCUUUUGUUAAAUAUAAAAUUGGCAUUCAUGCUCUUUCCUUACUAUGAUAAUUAGAUGUGCCAACUUUCAAAUCCUGCUCAUAUGCUGUAUAGAUUUUUUUAUUACUUUAAUGAAAACAGCAUCAUCAUUAUAUGGAAUAGAAGUACCAUAGAAAUGGUAUCCAUAUAGAGAUCAUUGUAUUCUUUAAUGCCAAGACAUGAUAAAAUUAUGGUAAAAAAUGGCAAACUUUUAAAAACAUACAUACAUUCACAGAAAAAGUAAUCAUAUCCUUCCUGAUUAAGCAUUAAGAAAAACAAUCAUAAUACUGCAGAUAGAUCAAAAUUAAAAACAACGAAGUCUCUAGUAAGUCCGUACUGGAUAUAAGGCAAUAUUUAGACACAGAGAAAUCUGAAAGACCAUGACAAAAAGUGUCCUGGAUCUCAUAAGCUUUCGUUUAAAUCCAAACUGAAAAUCUCAAAAAUUAGGUCCAUUGUGGUAAAUGCUGGUAUGAUGAGAAAAAAACAGUUAGGGAGCAGCACUCACAGAUUUGUAGGCUCAUUUGCUGCUUUAAGCUGUUACUAACAUUGGAAUUGCUUCCAUUGACUCUAAUGAGCGUUGGGCUUCUCUCUUCUUGUUCCUGCCACUGGCUAUUUUAGCAUCACAGCCACUACAGGGUCAGCAUGAGUCAGCAUCUUCUCUCUACUCCUUUUCAACUAACAAAUGGGGAAAUAAAUGUUUCUUGGGUUUGCAAAGCCAUUCCCCAAGUUACAGUGAUUUUCUUGGCCCUUUUCCCUACGUCAAAUCAGAGCCUGGGCUCCCAGGAGAUCAUGCAGGAACUGGCCAUUCUUCUGGAUCUGUGCUGAGGGCAGUACCCUGUAAAUAGGUGCAAGGACACCUCUCAGUUCUGUUUAAGUGAAUUUGAGGAGUCUUUAUCAAAUUCUCCCCCAUUCCAUAAACUGUAUUAUGACAAAAUUCCAUAUAUUGGAUUGCCGUAUGUCAGUUCUAUCUAUGCUCUGCUAAUUAAAUUCACUUGGGCUUUCACUCAGGAAAGGUAUAAUAUAAGCAGGAUAAACAGAGAGAAGCAUAUUUACAGCCAGGGCUUUAAGAAGCAUAGAACCCUGCUUUAUAAAUGUGUGACAAACCCUCACAAACUUCCCUGUUGUAGGUUUUAAGUUCAUAGGGCCUUCCUGAGAGAAGUCCUUCAAAGAUGUAGGAGUGGAACAAUAGCAUCAACCACUGAGCCAUUUACUUAACUGGGUAUAACACUGAGGCAUUUACUUAACUGUCAAUAAUAUUUAGGACAAUUGCCUAUGAAUGAGAGAUUGCUCUACACUAAACGUAUGUAUUCCUCUUCAUUCUAGGGCAAUGUUUUUCAGAAAGUAGUCCUCAGAUUAUCAGUUUCAGAAUCAGCUGGUACAUUCACUAAAAUGCAGAUUCCCAGGCCCAGUGAGGACUGAAUAAACCUUAGUUUCCCAGGUGAGUCGGUUUUGACUGUCACUCCCAGGUGAUGCUUACUCAGAGUAAAUCUGGAGAACUGCUAAGAAGGAGAGAAACCACUGUCUUCUAGUUCUCGUACUACAGGUGGUGGUCAUGAAAGUGAGCAAAAUAUUCUGUACCUAAUCUCAUAACUCUGUAUAGAUCAUUGUGGGAAAAGAAAAUAGGUUUUGUGGGCGUGCUUAGGCAGGCGGCGGGGCGGCUAGAGUGCCCUGGGGAGGGCUGUGCCGGGUUGCUUUCUACAGCCGCGUCUCGGCCAGCUCUCCUCGCCGUCCCCGGGGCGCUGUGCGUCUCCAGUCCGGGACCGAAGCCGCCUGCCGUAGCGGGCGGCCAGAUCCGCGUCCCACCUCAGCGCCCGGAGGACAUGCGAGAGAGAGAAUGAGCCAGAGGGACACGCUGGUGCAUCUGUUUGCCGGGGUAUGUGGUGGUACAGUGGGAGCUAUUCUGACAUGUCCACUGGAAGUUGUAAAAACACGACUGCAGUCAUCUUCUGUGACACUUUAUAUUUCUGAAGUUCACCUGAACACCAUGGCUAGAGCCAGUGUCAACCGAAUAGUGUCUCAUGGACCUCUUCAUUGCCUAAAGUUGAUCUUGGAAAAAGAAGGGCCACGUUCCUUGUUUAGAGGAUUAGGCCCCAAUUUAGUGGGGGUAGCCCCUUCCAGAACAAUAUACUUUGCUGCUUAUUCAAACUGCAAGGAAAAAUUGAAUGAUGUAUUUGAUCCUGAUUCUACCCAAGUACACAUGAUUUCAGCGGCAAUGGCAGGUUUUACUGCAAUCACAGCAACUAACCCCAUUUGGCUUAUAAAGACUCGGUUACAACUUCAUGCAAGGAACCGUGAGGAAAGGCGAAUGGGUGCUUUUGAAUGUGUUUGUAAAGUGUAUCAGACAGAUGGACUAAAAGGAUUUUAUAGGGGCAUGUCUGCUUCAUAUGCUGGUAUAUAGAGACUGUUACCCAUUUUGUUAUUUAUGAAAGUAUAAAGCAAAAACUACUGGAAUGUAAGACUGCUUCUAUAAUGGAAAAUGAUGAAGAGUCUGUGAAAGAAGCAUCAGAUUUUGUGGGAAUGAUGCUAGCUGCUGCCACCUCAAAAACUUGUGCCACAACUAUAGCAUAUCCACAUGAAGUUGUAAGAACAAGACUAUGUGAAGAGGGAACAAAAUACAGAUCUUUUUUUCAGACACUAGCUUUGCUCGUUCAAGAAGGUGGUUAUGGGUCUCUUUACCGUGGUCUGACAACUCAUCUAGUGAGACAGAUUCCAAACACAGCCAUUAUGAUGGCCACCUAUGAAUUGGUGGUUUACCUACUCAAUGGAUAGCAGCAUGAGGGCUGCUGUACUACA